rnacentral:misc_RNA from 1 species
GUACGUUGCCCUUUCCGCCCGGCGCCCGUCGUGGGCGCGGGGCGGACUCCGGGCGCGCUGCGCGCUCCUCGCAUGCCCUCNGCUGUUGCGGGGCUGUUGAGGCCCGCGGAGCUGUCGCCCGUUCUCUCGGAUGCGGAACGUGACGCGCGGGCGCGGGGGUCUCGGCCCUCGCUCGCCCGGGCUACGCAUUUGUCCCUUGAUGCGAACGACCGUCGCGGCUGUCUCGACCCCGUCGCGGCCNUGUGUGCCGGGACGGGCCUCGUGCGGUCGUCGG